GUCUGUUGUCCAGGAGAUCAUCGGCCUCUACGUAAGAAGUGCUGGGGUGUCCCCGUCGAUGAGUGUGAACUCAGGUUCAGGAACGAGGAGGUAAGACAACUGCUGUUUUAGACGGCAGACCCACUAGGGGUAUACCGAUUGUGCGGUAGGCCCAAAAGGGGUUUAAAUCUGUGUAUGGAAUCUGCCCCCUCUGUCGGAGGGAAGGAGCGAAGGCGCACCGCUCGAUCGAACGCUCUUUAGUAAGACCAUUUGAUCUGGUUAGUCAGGCGGGGUCCUGUGUAAAUAGCCCUAGCCGGACACCGGUGUCUUGUCUAGACUAGCGUUCUAGGGUGUAUAUUACGUUCGCUAGGUCGGAG